UACGAAGGGGGCUAGCGUUGUUCGGAAUUACUGGGCGUAAAGCGCACGUAGGCGGAUAUUUAAGUCAGGGGUGAAAUCCCAGAGCUCAACUCUGGAACUGCCUUUGAUACUGGGUAUCUUGAGUAUGGAAGAGGUAAGUGGAAUUGCGAGUGUAGAGGUGAAAUUCGUAGAUAUUCGCAGGAACACCAGUGGCGAAGGCGGCUCACUGGCCCGGUACUGACGCUGAGGCGCGAAAGCGUGGGGAGCAAACAGG
rnacentral:rRNA from 1 species